rnacentral:lncRNA from 1 species
UAGGAUUUAGGGUUUAGGGUUUAGGGUUUAGGGUUUAGAGUUUAGGGGUGGGGUUUAGGGUUUAGGGUUUAGAGUUAAGGGGUGGAAUUUAGGAUUUAGGGUUUAGGGUUUAGGGUUUAGGGUUUAGGGUUUAGAGUUAAGGGGUGGAAUUUAGGAUUUACGGUUUAGGGUUUAGGAUUUAGGGUUUAGGGUUUAGAGUUUAGGUUUUAGGGUUUAGAAUUGGAGAGUGGGGUUUUGGGAUAAGAUUUCAAAUUUUGAAAAAUAAAAAAAGAUUAAAUUUUUCAAAAGAUAAAAUGUUAUUUUCGUC